AUUGAACGCUGGCGGCAGGCUUAACACAUGCAAGUCGAGCGGGGUGAUGGUGCUUGCACUAUCACUUAGCGGCGGACGGGUGAGUAAUGCUUAGGAAUCUGCCUAUUAGUGGGGGACAACAUCUCGAAAGGGAUGCUAAUACCGCAUACGUCCUACGGGAGAAAGCAGGGGAUCACUUGUGACCUUGCGCUAAUAGAUGAGCCUAAGUCGGAUUAGCUAGUUGGUGGGGUAAAGGCUUACCAAGGCGACGAUCUGUAGCGGGUCUGAGAGGAUGAUCCGCCACGCUGGUACUGGGACACGGCCCAGACUCCGUCGGGAGGCAGCAGUGGGGAAUAUUGGACAAUGGGGGGAACCCUGAUCCAGCCAUGCUGCGUGUGUGAAGAAGGCCUUAUGGUUGUAAAGCACUUUAAGCGAGGAGGAGGCUUACCUAGUUAAUACCUGGGAUAAGUGGACGUUACUCGCAGAAUAAGCACCGGCUAACUCUGUGCCAGCCGCCGCCGUAA
rnacentral:rRNA from 1 species